UCAGAAUUUGGAGAGACAAGAUGUGAAAUUAGGCUAGAGAAAUUCACUUGUGGUAAGACUUGAUUCGAUGAACUCCAUGUUAUUUUUAGCCCUCUUCCCUUCGUUGAAAUGACGCUAUAAGCCAUUAUAAACUAUUCCAUUCAUCCUAUAGAAAAUCACCAGGCCAGUGUCCUUCCUUAUGAACAUGAUCUCCUAAUUCUAACCACAGUAAUCUAUAAUUGUUUGUUUUUGCUUAAGUCUUCUGAAUCAAUUAUUGAGAAUGUCCAGGUACGAAAUAUAGUUACCUAAAACACUUUAAAAAUAACUUACAAAUAUUGUUUUCAGGAUGUAUGGAUAUCUUACAAACAAUUAAGAAAUAAUUCAGAGCAUGAAUUUAGGUUGUCCUUAGGCAUUAAACUCAGUUAAGAUGACACUGUUCACUCUUUUUGCCAAAGACUGUUAAAAUAAAUUUCAAGAUCAAUGGCUAAGAACUCCUAUUAGUUUAUAAGAGCACUUAUGUAUGCAGCUUUUCAAAUAACCAAAUGAUGAUUGUUUUCCAUAUAGAAAAUCCAACAUUAAAUACAGAUUAUGAUUUCAUAACAAUUUUGAAGCUCUAAUCAACCAAGGGGAAAAUACAUAAAUAUUUUAAUGUAAAGGAAUUUACUAUAUUUUGCCUGAAAUAUAGCUUGGGUAGAGGAGAAAAGCCACUAUGUGGAGAUGUUUAUGAAGAGUAAAUAUGUGUCUGACAAAAUCUACAUACAAAACAAUAAAAAAACAAUUUCCCAAACAAAAUCUACUUCGGUUAUUGGGUUCUGCAAAUGACUUAACACAUUGAGAUCAAUUAGAGACUUUACCAAAAACUUUUUUAUAAUCUUGGCCCUCUCCCAAGCAUACUCACAUUGCUUAGAUUGCACAAUUUACAAACAAGAAAUCAGAUACCAAUAUAAAAAUACGCGAUAUUACAUAACAAUGUGCUUUAAAGACUAGAAUUAAAAAUUUAUGAGGAAUACACACAAAUGAGUGCGUGCAUCCUGAUAAAAUCUGAAUAAUUGCUGUGGACUAGAUCAACAUCAGUUUUAUGGUGUCGAUAUAGUAUCAUGAUACAUGCAAGAUGUUAACAAUGGAGAAGUCAAGGAUGCAGCAGAGCUCCUACACAUAUUUCAAAUAAAAAGUUCUUAAAAACGAUCUGUUUUUGUCUGAUUAUCCCCAAAGGCAAAAUUUCUGACCUGUCUCUGGAGCUGGGGGUGGGGACAAUGGCACUCUUCUCUCAGUGACACCCACUUUAGGAGUUGAGCUGUACGUGGAAAGAGGGCAGCAGUCUCAGGUCUUCUCUAUUUGCCUCUAGUGUGAUAUCACCAUUUCACAAGCUAAGUUAUCCUAGAUGUAUCUUUGUAAGAUACCUCAAAUACUUUUCAGAGUAAACUUUAGAGCCAGAGAAGCCAUCAACCCAGAAGUGCCAAUGAGUGAAGAAAUAAUGGAUGAAAAUUUGAUGAAACUUCCCAAAUGUGAUGAAAGAUAUGAUGUAAACAUCCAAGAAGCUCAACGAGCUCCAAGUAAGAUGACCUCAAAAACCCGCAAUGAAACACAUUGUAAUUAAUCUAAGAGAAAGAGAGAAUCUUGAAAGUAGCAAGAGAAAAGCAAAUUGUUACGUGGAAGAAUCCUCAAUAAGAUUAUUAGCAGAUUUCUCAUCAGAAACUGGAGGCCAGAAGACCAUAAACCAAUACAUUCAAAGUGCUUUUAAAAAGUGGCAUUAUUGUCCUUCAAAAGUUAGGAAGAAAUUAAGACAUUCCCAGAUAAACAAAAGCUGAAAGAGUUCAUGACCACUAGACACAUCCUGUAAGAAAUGCUCAAGAGAGUCCUACAAGGUGAAAAGACACUGGAAACUAACUUGAAUCUGUAGGGAGAAAUAAAGAUCUGAACACAGGCAAUUAUAAAAGCUAGCAUAUCACUGUAGCAAUGGUUUUAAAGAGCACUUUUUGUUUUCCAAUACAUUUAAAGAAAAACAAAGCAGUUAAUAAUACAGUUUCAUCCUGCUGUGAUCAGAGAAGAUACUCUGUAAGACAGCUAGCUUUUAAAAUCUUACUUAUUAAGACUUACUUACUUAUUACGACUCACUGUUAACAAUUAUAUAGCAACAAAUUAGAUAAUAUAGAUAAAAUGGACAAAUUCCUAGAAACACAAAACCUACCAAGACUAUAUCACAAAGAAAUAGAAAAUAUGAACAGACCUAUAACUGAUAAUGAAUCAGCAAUAUAAAAAUCUCCCAACCACAAACUGUAGACGUGAUGGCUUCACAGGAGAAUUCUACCAAACAUUUAAAGAACUAACAUCAGUACUUCUCAAACCUUUCUAAAAAACUCAAGAGUAGGGAACACUUCCUAACUCAUUCUAUGAGGCCAGCAUUAUCCUGAUACCCAAAGCCAGACAGACACUACAAGAACAAAAAAAUUUAUAGAUCAGCAUGUCUUAUGAACAUUAAUGCAAAAAAUCCUCAACAAAAUACUAGCAAAUAAAAAUCAGCAGCAUAUUAAAAGGAUUGUACACAAUGACCAAAUAGGAUUUAUUCCUGGAAUGUAAGGAUGGUUCAACAUAAUCAAUUGAUCAGAAUGUAAGGAUGGUUCAAACGUAAGAAACUAAUGAACAUAAAACACCACAUCAACAUAAUAAAGGAAAAGACCUCACAUGAACAUCUCAAUUGAUGCAGAAAAGGCAUCUGACAAAAUUCAACACCUUUUCAUGAUUAAAAAACCCAACAGACAAGGCAUAGAAGGAAACCACCUCAACACAAUAAAAAAAACUAUAGCGGACAUGUUUGAUGGUGAAAUGCUGAAAGCAUUUCCUUUAAGAUCAGGAACAAGUAAGGAUGUCUGUUUUCAUCACUUCUAUUCAACACAAUACUGGAAAUUAUAGCCAGAGCAACUAAGCACAAAAAUGAAAUAGAAGGUAUCCAAAUGGGAAAGAAGUAAAAUGAUCUCUGUAGAUGAUAUGAUCUUAUAUUUUAAAAACUCUAAAGAGUCCACAAAAAACCUGUUUGAACUAAUAAAUUAAGUCAGCAAUACAGCAAGAUACAAAGUUACCACACAAAAAUCAACUGCAUUUUUAUACACAAUUAGAGAACUUGAAAAGGAAAUUACAAAAGCAAUUCCAUGUACAAUAGCAUCAAAAAGAAUAAAAUACUUAGGAAUUAACCAAGAAGGUGAAAGAAAACUUCAUCUUCUUGUACAAAAAAACUACAGUGACUACAAAACAUUGUUGAAAGGAAUUAAAGAAGACAUAAGUACAUGAAAGCAUAUCUCUUAUUCAUGAAAUGUAAGUCCUAAUAUUAUUAAAAUAUCAAUAUUACCCAAAGCAA